rfam:Schistosoma rodhaini strain Burundi genome assembly, scaffold: SROB_scaffold0000042
GCACUGCUGAUGAGUUCCAUACUAGAACGAAACGGCCUUCCAGUGC